rnacentral:lncRNA from 1 species
ACCGAGCGGCGGCCCCGCGGCAGCGCCCGCGCCUGCCCGGAGCCGGUCCCGGCGGCAGCGAUGGAGCCGGAGCCGGUCCCGGUACCACCAAUGGAGCCGGUGAUGCCGGAGCCGGCCCCGGUCCCCCCAAUGGAUCCGGUGCUGCCAGAGCCGAUCCCGGUCCCACCAAUGGAUCCGGUGCUGCCGGAGCCGAUCCCGGUCGCACCAAUGGACCCGGUAAUGCCGGAGCCGAUCCCGGUCCCCCCAAUGGAUCCGGUGCUGCCAGAGCCGAUCCCGGUCCCACCAAUGGAUCCGGUGAUGCCGGAGCCGGUCCCGGUCGCACCAAUGGAUCCGGUGAUGCCGGAGCCAAUCCCGGUACCACCAAUGGACCCGGCGAUGCCGGAGCCGGUCCCGGUCGCACCAAUGGAUCCGGUGAUGCCGGAGCCGAUCCCGGUACCACCAAUGGACCCGGUGAUGCCGGAGCCGAUCCCGGAACCACCAAUGGAUCCGGUAUUGCCGGAGCCGGCCCCGGCGCUGCCGGCGCCGCUCCCGCUCCCCACAACGGCCCCGCUGACGCCGUCUCCCUCCUCGGCGGCACCGGCGCCGCAGCCGCAGCCGCGGUGGCUCCGGAGCCGCUCCAGGAGCUGCCGUUUCUCCUCCUGGAGCCGCUCGAGGCGGCGGCGAAGCGCCGGCAGCGCCCGGACCUGCUCCUCCAGCUCCCGCAGCCGCCCCAGCGCCGCCGCCAUCUGCUCCCGCACCAAGCGCAGCGCCGCCGGUCCCGCCCCGGCCUCCUCCUCGUCCCCCCCGCCCCGGGGCCGGGCGCGGGGCUCCGGCUCCCGGCCCCCGGCCCACGAGGCGCGGUGCAGGCGCCGGUUCACCGGCACUCGCCGCAGCGUCAGCCCCUUCUCGAUGGCCUCCACGUAGCCCAGGAAGCCCAGGUCCAGCCGGUACCCAUAGGCCGUCUCCAGCGUGUACCGCGCGUCCCCCGGCCCCGGCGCCGGUCCUGACCCCGAGCGGCGGCGACCUGCGGCAGCGCAGCAGGACCUGAGCCAUGGCCCCAGCCU